CCUACGGGAGGCAGCAGUGAGGAAUAUUGCACAAUGGACGAGACUCUGAUCCAGCGACGCCGCGUGAGUGAAGAAGUAUCUCGGUAUGUAAAGCUCUAUCAGCAUGGAAGUAGAAUGACGGUACCUGACUAAGAAGCACCGGCUAACUCCGUGCCAGCAGCCGCGGUAAUACGUAGGGGGCAAGCGUUAUCCGGAUUUACUGGGUGUAAAGGGAGCGUAGACGGCUGUGCAAGUCUGAGGUGAAAGCUCAGGGCUCAACCGUGGGACUGCUGUGGAACCUGUGGAGCUAGAGUGCUGGAGAGGUGAGUGGAAUUCGUGGUGUAGCGGUGAAAUGCGUAGAUAUUAGGAGGAACACCAGUUGCGAAGGCAGCUUACUGGACAGUAACUGACGUUGAGGCUCGAAAGCGUGGGGAGCAAACAGGAUUAGAUACCCUAGUAGUC
rnacentral:rRNA from 1 species